GAUGAAGAACGUAGCGAAAUGCGAUAAGUAAUGUGAAUUGCAGAAUUCAGUGAAUCAUCGAACCUUUGAACGCACAUUGCGCCCGCUGGUAUUCCGGCGGGCAUGCCUGUUCGAGCGUCAUUUCAACCCUCAAGCUCUCCGGAGUUUGGUGUUGGGGCGCCUGGGGCUUUUCGACCUCAGGGCCCUCAAGUCCAUCGGCGGGACCGCCAGGACACUGAGCGCAGUAGUAUUAUUUCGCUCGGUAGGAUCUUCCACGGCGGGUCGAUCUGGCCGCUAAACCCCCCAAUUCUCACCAAAGGUUGACCUCGGAUCAGGUAGGAAUACCCGCUGAACUUAAGCAUAUCAAUAAGCGGAGGA
rnacentral:misc_RNA from 1 species